rnacentral:rRNA from 1 species
AUUGAACGCUGGCGGCAUGCCUUACACAUGCCAGUCGAACGGUAACAGGUCUUCGGAUGCUGACGAGUGGCGAACGGGUGAGUAAUACAUCGGAACGUGCCCGAUCGUGGGGGAUAACGAAGCGAAAGCUUUGCUAAUACCGCAUACGAUCUACGGAUGAAAGCAGGGGACCGCAAGGCCUUGCGCGAACGGAGCGGCCGAUGGCAGAUUAGGUAGUUGGUGGGAUAAAAGCUUACCAAGCCGACGAUCUGUAGCUGGUCUGAGAGGACGACCAGCCACACUGGGACUGAGACACGGCCCAGACUCCUACGGGAGGCAGCAGUGGGGAAUUUUGGACAAUGGGCGAAAGCCUGAUCCAGCCAUGCCGCGUGCAGGAUGAAGGCCUUCGGGUUGUAAACUGCUUUUGUACGGAACGAAAAGACUCUGGUUAAUACCUGGGGUCCAUGACGGUACCGUAAGAAUAAGCACCGGCUAACUACGUG